GAUGAACGCUGGCGGCGUGCUUAACACAUGCAAGUCGAGCGAAGCACUUAAGUUUGAUUCUUCGGAUGAAGACUUUUGUGACUGAGCGGCGACGGGUGAGGUACGCGUAGGUAACUGCCUCAUACAGGGGGAUAACAGUUAGAAAUGGCUGCUAAUACCGCAUAAGACCACAGUACUGCAUGGUACAGUGGUAAAAACUCCGGUGGUAUGAGAUGGACCCGCGUCUGAUUAGCUAGUUGGUAAGGUAACGGCUUACCAAGGCGACGAUCAGUAGCCGACCUGAGAGGGUGACCGGCCACAUUGGGACUGAGACACGGCCCAA
rnacentral:rRNA from 1 species